AUUGAACGCUGGCGGCAGGCCUAACACAUGCAAGUCGAACGGUAACAGGAAGCAGCUUGCUGCUUUGCUGACGAGUGGCGGACGGGUGAGUAAUGUCUGGGAAACUGCCUGAUGGAGGGGGAUAACUACUGGAAACGGUAGCUAAUACCGCAUAACAUCGCAAGACCAAAGAGGGGGACCUUCGGGCCUCUUGCCCUCGGAUGUGCCCAGAUGGGAUUAGCUAGUAGGUGGGGUAACGGCUCACCUAGGCGACGAUCCCUAGCUGGUCUGAGAGGAUGACCAGCCACACUGGAACUGAGACACGGUCCAGACUCCUACGGGAGGCAGCAGUGGGGAAUAUUGCACAAUGGGCGCAAGCCUGAUGCAGCCAUGCCGCGUGUAUGAAGAAGGCCUUCGGGUUGUAAAGUACUUUCAGCGGGGAGGAAGGGAGUAAAGUUAAUACCUUUGCUCAUUGACGUUACCCGAAGAAGAAGCACCGGCUAACUCCGUG
rnacentral:rRNA from 1 species